rnacentral:rRNA from 1 species
UACGGAGGGUGCGAGCGUUGUCCGGAAUCACUGGGCGUAAAGGGCGCGUAGGCGGCCUGAUAAGUAGGGGGUGAAAUCCUGCGGCUUAACCGCAGGGCUGCCUUCUAAACUGUCAGGCUAGAGCACGGUAGAGGCAGAUGGAAUUCCCGGUGUAGCGGUGGAAUGCGUAGAGAUCGGGAAGAACAUCAGUGGCGAAGGCGGUCUGCUGGGCCGUUGCUGACGCUGAGGAGCGAAAGCGUGGGGAGCGAACAGG